UACGGGAGGCAGCAGUGGGGGAUAUUGCACAAUGGGGGAAACCCUGAUGCAGCGACGCCGCGUGAGCGAAGAAGUAUUUCGGUAUGUAAAGCUCUAUCAGCAGGGAAGAAAAUGACGGUACCUGACUAAGAAGCUCCGGCUAAAUACGUGCCAGCAGCCGCGGUAAU
rnacentral:rRNA from 1 species